ACACGCGUAGCUCAAGUUCGGUUUAGAGCACCCGCCUUAUAAGCGGGAGGUUGAUGGGUCAAAUCAAUCCGCGUGUACCA
rnacentral:tRNA from 1 species